UUUGUUUAUGUCUUUAGAUAUUAUGUCUCAGACGGAGAACGAAGUCGGUACGCGUAAGACGACAUUUUACACGUUUCCUAAUAUACAUUGAUUUUUAACUUUUAUUUCAAAUAGAAGUGUCUAAAAUAUGUUUUCCUUAAUUUUAUAAAAUCAAAGUAAUUUCAUUAUAUAUAUAACAUAUAAUAAUAGAGAGAGAUAGAGAUAUGAAAUUCAUUAGAAAAAUAUUAUUUUACACGUAUAUACACACAUUAUCUUGCAUUAGUCAACGGUUUCACGAUGUUACCGUAACACGCAAGACGAUAUUAUGUAUAUAAUAUUCCUCACUUUUAUCACAUCAGACAGUCUACGAAAAGUAAUUUCAAUCAAUCAUAAUCCAUAUGAGAUGGAAUUAGGUUAUGAUAAAUAACAAAAUGGACGAUUGAUUAUGAACAAAUCAAAUCACGUUUAAUUAACAAAUGGAAUCCGAAUGAUCGAAGAAACGUAGAGAGAAAAUAUGUAAUAAGUAUUAAUUGUAAUAUUGUCAAAGGAAUUAACAAGAGUAAGUACAUCGAUUAAAUAGUUCGUCAAUAAAUAUUAAUUAUUCAAGGAUAAACAAUUCUAAUGCGAGUAAUAUUCAUGACAAAGGGUGGCGCAUGUAGUUACAGACGCAUACAUAAAUAAAUUUCUCGACACGUAUACGCUUCAUAAGUAACAUCGUGCCAGUUAAUUUCAGCAUAAAUCCUGGAAAUCCCAUAGAAUAGGAGGAGGAAGAAAAGAAGAAAGAGGAGGAGGAGGAGGAGGAGGAGGAGGAGAAGAAGAAGAAAGAGGAGGAAAAAAGAGAAAAGAGGGAAGGUCUAACAGGCAGGGUGGGUUUAGAAUCGUUGGGAAUCGCGGGAACUUCGGUGUAGCUCGUUAAGCGAAGAAAACUUCUCUCACGGUCCAAAGUUCACGGCCAACCUUGCGAUCUUUAUCUACGCGAGCUAUUUCCCCGCCGUGCUGCUCUUUACCGAUUAUGUUUUCAUUUCUCUGAUUUGUCGGCGACGAUGCGGAUAAUAGCUGCCAUACGACGUACCAGCUACAGAAGAUAAACGCUUAGAGUAGAGAGGUAACGUCUGCCAUAUGCUAGGCUGAAAACCGGCCGUGAUUUUUGUCGAUGUUAUGCUAGUGGCGUGAGGAAUUCGAAAAACAGAAAACUAUAAUGCCCGAGAGAACAUUCGCAAAAUAUGUAUGUAUGUAUGUAUGUGUGUAUAUAUAUAUAUAUAUGUGUAUGUACGUACAUAGAUACAUAUGUUGGCAACGAUAGAACGCUGUUUCGAGGUUAGGAACGAAUAAUAAUCUGGCUUAUUUCUCUUGCAAAAGAAAGAAAUAAAUAGAUGAAGAAAGAAAAGACUUUUAAAAAUAAAGAAAGAUACGUGAAACGACAUAAUUAUAAGGUGAAACCAAUAGAAUCUCGUAUACAUAUUUCACAUUGGCAAAGAAAAUAAGGUGCAGCAGACGGCGUGUACCACGCCUCAACGCACUCCUACCUUACUGAUCCCGAUUGUAACAGAGCUUGUGCAGGAUUAUUCCCGUGAGCGUGUUUCGAUCUUAACAAAUCGAAGAUAGGAAGAAACUCGUUUAUGCCGCAGCUGCUAUUUAUAUACGAUUAAUGCGAAACAAACAAACAAAUAAAUGGACAAAUGAAAGGAAAAAAAAAAGUAAUCAUUUCG